rnacentral:sRNA from 1 species
ACUUGAUGUUAUGUGUAUGAUUGAGUAUUAGAACUUAAACCGCAACUUGAGCUUAAAAGCCUAAGUACUGUUUCCUUUGUUAGAAGAUACAAAGCCAAAGACUCAUACAAGAUUU